rnacentral:rRNA from 1 species
AGAGUUUGAUCAUGGCUCAGGAUGAACGCUAGCUACAGGCUUAACACAUGCAAGUCGAGGGGAACGACAUCGAAAGCUUGCUUUUGAUGGGCGUCGACCGGCGCACGGGUGAGUAACGCGUAUCCAACCUGCCCACCACUUGGGGAUAACCUUGCGAAAGUAAGACUAAUACCCAAUGACGUCUCUAGAAGACAUCUGAAAGAGAUUAAAGAUUUAUCGGUGAUGGAUGGGGAUGCGUCUGAUUAGCUUGGUUGGCGGGGUAACGGCCCACCAAGGCGACGAAUCAGUAGGGGUUCUGAGAGGAAGGUCCCCCACAUUGGAACUGAGACACGGUCAAACUCCUACGGGAGGCA